rnacentral:rRNA from 1 species
GUAUACGUCCAGGCUACCCUGUAUAAGCCCCAUCCUGCCUGAUCUCAGAAGCUAAGCAGGGUUGGAGCUGGUUAGUACUUGGAUGGGAGACCACCUAGGAUGACCAGGUGCUGUGGGCG